AGUGAACGCUGGCGGUAGGCCUAACACAUGCAAGUCGAACGGCAGCACAGUAAGAGCUUGCUCUUACGGGUGGCGAGUGGCGGACGGGUGAGGAAUACAUCGGAAUCUACUUUUUCGUGGGGGAUAACGUAGGGAAACUUACGCUAAUACCGCAUACGACCUACGGGUGAAAGCAGGGGAUCUUCGGACCUUGCGCGAUUGAAUGAGCCGAUGUCGGAUUAGCUAGUUGGCGGGGUAAAGGCCCACCAAGGCGACGAUCCGUAGCUGGUCUGAGAGGAUGAGAGGCAAUGAGAGGACUGAGAGACGGCCCAGACGGGGACGGUAGGCAGCGGGGGGGAAUAUUAACCCAUGGGAGGAAGGAUGAGGAAGAAACGCUGAGUGCGGGAUGAGGUCCUGCGGGUUGUAAACAGCUGGCGCCUGUUACGACGCGGGAGUGACGGUAAUGAGUAAAGAAGCACCGGCUAAUUACGGG
rnacentral:rRNA from 1 species